CAUGGAAAAAAAAUACCACAGAGAACCCAAAAGAAGAUUCAAUGUUAUUCAAACUUACUAUUGGGAAUAAGCAAUUGCUCAAAUCUUAAUUAAGAUAC